AACAAACGCUGGCGGCGUGCCUAAUACAUGCAAGUCGAACGGGGAAAGUAGCAAUAUGAGUACUAGUGGCGCCCGGGUGAGUAACGCGUGGAUAAUCUGUCUUGAAGAGGGGGAUAACUAGUCGAAAGAUUAGCUAAUACCGCAUAAGACCACAAGAACUGAGGUUCAAGGGGUCAAAGGUUUUUCGCUUCAAGAUGAGUCCGCGUAAGAUUAGCUAGUUGGUGAGGUAAUGGCUCACCAAGGCAACGAUCUUUAACUGGUCUGAGAGGAUGAUCAGUCACGCUGGCAAUGGGACGCGGUACAGGCGCCUACGGGAGGAUGGGGUAAAGCAUAUUGCACAAAGGCGGCAUCUCUGAUGCAGCGACUCGGCGUGAGUGAUGCAGGCCUUCGGGACGAAAAGCUGUGUCGCAGGGGAAUAACGCAUUGAAGGUACCCUGUAAGAAAGGAUCGGCUAACUUCGUG
rnacentral:rRNA from 1 species